GCCUGCCCAGUGACUCUUUAAACGGCCGCGGUAUCCUAACCGUGCAAAGGUAGCAUAAUCACUUGUCCCUUAAAUCGGGACUGGAAUGAACGGCUAAAUGAGGACUAAACUGUCUCUUACAGGCUAGCCAAUGAAAUUGAUUUUCCAGUACAAAAGCUGGAAUAUAACCACAAGACGAGAAGACCCUGUGGAGCUUACAAACCAAAUUCACCAAACAUGUUUUAUCGGUUUUCAGUUGGGGCGACUUCGGAGUACAAAAUAACCUCCAAACAUAAAACUAAUUAAGAACAACACAUCAAAAUAUAUUUUGAUGACCCAGCAACCCUUGUGGUUGUCUGACUAAUGAACCAAGUUACCCCAGGGAAUAACAGCGCCAUCCCCUUCUAGAGUCCCUAUCGACAAGGGGGUUUACGACCUCGAUGUUGGAUCAGGACACCCCAAUGGUGCAGCCGCCAUUAACGGUUCGUUUGUUCAACGAUUAAAGUCCAACGUGAU
rnacentral:rRNA from 1 species